AGGAUCCGAGCGUUAUCCGGAUUUAUUGGGUUUAAAGGGAGCGUAGGUGGAAGAUUAAGUCAGCCUGUGAAAGUUUGCGGCUCAACCUUGAAAUUGCAGUUGAUACUGGAGAUCUUGAGUGCAGUUGAGGCAGGCGGAAUUCGUGGUGUAGCGGUGAAAUGCUUAGAUAUCACGAAGAACUCCGAUUGCGAAGGCAGCUUGCUAAAGUGUAACUGACGUUCAUGCUCGAAAGUGUGGGUAUCAAA
rnacentral:rRNA from 1 species